rnacentral:rRNA from 1 species
AUUGCCUCAGUAACGGCGAGUGAAGCGGCAAAAGCUCAAAUUUGAAAUCUGGCUCUUUUAGGGUCCGAGUUGUAAUUUGUAGAAGAUGUUUCGGGUGUGGCUCCGGUUUAAGUUCUUUGGAAUAUUACAUCAUAGAGGGUGAGAAUCCCGUAUGUGACCGGCAGCCUUCGCCUAUGUGAAACUCUUUCGACGAGUCGAGUUGUUUGGGAAUGCAGCUCAAAAUGGGAGGUAUAUUUCUUCUAAAGCUAAAUAUUGGCCAGAGACCGAUAGCGCACAAGUAGAGUGAUCGAAAGAUGAAAAGCACUUUGGAAAGAGAGUUAAACAGUACGUGAAAUUGUUGAAAGGGAAGCGCUUGCAACCAGACUUGCACGCAGUUGAUCAUCCGGUGUUCUCACCGGGGCACUCUGCUGCGUUCAGGCCAGCAUCGGUUUUGGUGGUUGGAUAAAGGCCUUGGGAAUGUGGCUUCCUUCGGGGAGUGUUAUAGCCCUCGGUGCAAUGCAGCCUACCGGGACCGAGGACCGCGCUUCGGCUAGGAUGCUGGCGUAAUGGUUGUAAGCGACCCGUCUUGAAACACGGACCAAGGAGUCUAACAUCUAUGCGAGUGUUUGGGUGUUAAACCCAUACGCGUAAUGAAAGUGAACGGAGGUGAGAACCCUUAAGGGUGCAUCAUCGACCGGUCCUGAUGUCUUCGGAUGGAUCUGAGUAAGAGCAUAGCUGUUGGGACCCGAAAGAUGGUGAACUAUGCGUGAAUAGGGUGAAGCCAGAGGAAACUCUGGUGGAGGCUCGCAGCGGUUCUGACGUGCAAAUCGAUCGUCAAAUUUGCGCAUAGGGGCGAAAGACUUAUCGAACCAUUGAACACCUACUAGGUG